GACGAACGCUGGCGGCGUGCCUAACACAUGCAAGUCGAGCGAUGAAACCCUUCGGGGUGGAUUAGCGGCGGACGGGUGAGUAACACGUGGGUAACCUGCCUCAAAGAGGGGGAUAGCCUCCCGAGAGGGAGAUUAAUACCGCAUAACAUUAGUUUUUCGCAUGGAGAACUAAUUAAAGGAGUAAUCCGCUUUGAGAUGGACCCGCGGCGCAUUAGCUAGUUGGUGAGGUAAAGGCUCACCAAGGCGACGAUGCGUAGCCGACCUGAGAGGGUGAUCGGCCACAUUGGAACUGAGACACGGUCCAGACUCCUACGGGAGGCAGCAGUGGGGAAUAUUGCACAAUGGGCGAAAGCCUGAUGCAGCAACGCCGCGUGAGUGAUGAAGGCCUUCGGGUUGUAAAGCUCUGUCUUUUGGGACGAUAAUGACGGUACCAAAGGAGGAAGCCACGGCUAACUACGUGCCAGCCGCCGCGGUAAUAC
rnacentral:rRNA from 1 species